GAUCACGCCACGAACUCUAUUAGCAACAGGGCGGUGCCUACUCAGUGCUGAAGCUUCUCGACGGAGCGGAUGGUGGAUAAUUCUGUGGUGCUCAUCAAAACAUUCCAACUGAUAAAAAUGUUGGGUGCACUGUGGAAGUCAACAUCAUUGUUCAGCUUGGGACAUUUAUAAGUGAAUAAUCUGGCUGCGACAGGAACGUCAUGUAUAAGGGAUUUGGCCAACCUGUAUGGAGACCUCUCUCUCAGACAAACACAGCUCCUGUGGAACGGUACAAGCACGGUUGUUGUGUCUGGAAGGGAUAUAUUUAUCUCUACGGCGGUCGAAGGCAAAGUGGUCUGAAGGAUUUUUGGAGAUACAACAUUGCUCAGAAUGAAUGGGAAGAAUUGGACUACGCUGAGGGAACACUACCAGAAGAAUUGGAGGAGCCCUCACUAGUAGCCCAUGAUGGAAUAAUCUACAUGUAUGGUGGAAUGGUGGACUCUGCUUAUACCCAAGGGAAAACUCCUCUCUGGAUCUAUGAUAUUGACGCAGCGAAGUGGACUUGGUGGCAUGAAACGUUUUCUUGCGAGCCUGUGAAACAGGCACCCAAGAAUCGGAAGGGGCACACUGCUGUGGUGUUUGAGGCUCAGAUGUUCAUUUAUGGAGGUUAUGUUGACAUAGUGGGACCCUCCCAAGAAUUCUGGAGUUUUGGCUUUGGAGCCAAGGUUUGGUGCCCAGUGUUGGCCUCCUCUGGUGAUGUAGGUCCUGGGCCACGAUACAGUCACUCCGCAGUUGUCUACAACAGUGGAAUGUACUUGUUUGGUGGGCUGGUUGGACUUGUGGAGCAGAAUGACUUCUGGAAGUGGGAUUUCAUCGGUGGCACUUGGUCCAAGAUUAAAGCACGCUCUGGGCCUCACCAGUUAGUGGGGCAUUCUGCUGUUGUGUACCAAGACUGCAUGCUAAUCUUCGGCGGAGGAAAGAACCACAACAGCUCCAGCAACAGCCUGUGGAAAUUCCAGUUAACAACACAUAGCUGGGAGAGAUUAAACCCGGCAACAGAGACGCUGCCCCCCUCAAAAAUCUACCACUGCACGGUAGGUGUUGGUCAUAGGUUCCAGGGAAAGCAUCUGGACGAUGUCCCUCACACAAGACCAGUUCCCAGCUGCAUCUGUGGUGACGUCAUCUACCCAUGCAACUCCUCCGACGAGCAGCAACUGGUUGGCCUGAAGGGUGCCUGUUGCCUGAACUUUUCCACUCGGACCCCGCUCAAGCCUGAAGGCAAGACGACAAACUCAAACAGCAUAGAGAUGGUAACUUUCAGUGUGCUGUCCUCAGAAAAUACCAAGAAGCUCUUGCACUCUACUUCGCCCAUUACCCGUAUGCCGGUAGCACAGUGGCCACAUGAAAACUCCCACCUCCUUUCAAUGCACCUGGAUAAUCAAGCUCAUGUGGAGCACAGCGCCAAGGAAUUCAGUGAGAACGGUGAUUCAAGAGGAGCCCAGCCAGAUAUUACUCACCAGGAUGAUAGAUCACCCCAUGCAACUGAUAAUCUUCCGGAGGUUCUGCUGAUAGUAGGUGGCAAACCUUUAUCUGAGCUAAGGUACAUUUCACUCUGGCAAAUGAAAUUAUGUGAGCCAUUUCUAAAAUAGGGAAGAAAUGAUAAAAGAAAAUCUCGCAAUAUUAUUUUUUUGGCAAGUUUAGUUAGAGCAAUAUUCACAGUAUUUUAAUUCUACAUUUUGUUAUUGAAGUGAUAAUGCUAAAUUUUAAACAAAUAUUUUCUGAAGAGCUUUUAUUUUUAUACUUAUGCUCAAAACGUAAGCUAAAAUGUGCCGAUAGACAAGUUGUACACAGUUCUGUAGGCACAAGAGAUUUUGCAGAUACUGGAAAUCCAGAGCAACGCACACAAAAUGCUGGAGGAACUCAGCGGGUCAGGUAGCUUCUAUAGAAAUGAAUAAACAGUUAAUGUUUUGGGCCAAGACCCUUCAUCAGGACUGUCACUAGUUUUAUAGAAUUUUUUUUUUCUUUGUCAAAACAUUUCAAGAUUAGCCAGUGAUGCAGUUGCUUCUGUCAGUUUACAUACUUUAUAAGGUCACUACCAAUUGGAGGAGGUCCUCUUUCUGUCUCCCAUAGAUCCUGUAGCAGGAGCAGGCUCAGUUCAAAUGAACAGUUUACAAAAUGCAGAGAGCCUAAUAACUAUAAGUUGUGGUGUGACUGAGAUCUACAGCAGAAUUGGUUCAGCUGUGACUGAUUGAGUUCAAAUAAGCUGUUUCCAGAAUGCGCAGGACCUGACAACUAUGGGUGUAAUGGUGUGACAGAGACCUACAGCUGUGACUAAUUGCAUAAAAAUGGUAGUUUUGCAACGCUAUUGCAGCUGAGGGCAUUGGAGUUUGGAAGAGAAUGAUGACAUCCUCUGUAAAGAGUGUGUACAUGCUUCGCAUGGAAUGGUGGGUUCUUCCCCCCCCCCCCCCACCUGUGUUCCAGUUUUCCAGUUUCCUUCCACAGUCCAAAGACCUCCUGGUUAGCAGGUUAAUUGGUCAUUGUAAGUGGUCCCAUGAUUAGUUUGGGGUAACUGAGGGGCUGUUGAGAGUUGCUGGAUGGUGCAUGUGGAAGGCCCAUUCCAUGCAGUAUUGCAAGCUAAAUAAAUAGCUGAUUGAGGAGAGAACAGCUGCUUGGUUUUUGUGCAGAGAUGUUCCCUGGCAUCGCAGAUAUCGCAGAAUAUUCAAGCAGAAGAUAGCAAAAUGGUCCCACUAAUUUGUGUUGUCAGCCCAUUGGUUACGAAUCCCCUAAUUUUAUUGCACCAUUUAAAUGAGUUUAAUUUUGAUCCUUUUUUUCUGUAUAGCCUAAGAAUCACAGAAUUGUAGAUCACCCAGCAUGGAAGCGACCUCUUUGACCCACUGUGUACAUGCCAACUAUCGGGCACCAUAUACCACCUGUAAAUGUCCAUAGCACGGCAACGUGCUUUUCCAGAUACCCUUAACUGCUGCAAGAAUAUCUGCCUCCAUCCACAUUCACCCCUUCAGAAAGUGCUCAACAAAGGGCUCAAAUUUUCUCUAUCUUCCAAAGAUGCCAUUGACUUAAGAAUGAAGCUUUCAUUCAGCAAAGGGAGCUCCAGACCGAUUCCAACUAAAUGCUGAAGUCCUUAUGAAGCAGAUGAUCAUGCACUCAGUGCAGAUGUCUGGAUUAGAAAGUCCCUGGAGUCUGUUUUGCAGAGGCUGUUCCAGAAUGGAGAAGGGUGCAGAUGCAUUGAACAUCAGUACUGCAGAGGAGGUGAGAUAGAGGAACCCCAGAUUUGCUGUUUUCCCCACCCCACCUCCCCAAGACUUACUGAUGAGCAAGAAACUGCCACACACAGACUGGGUCAGAUAGCACCAGGAACUCUCUGCUGGGCUUCUUUACGUUUCUGAGGAAGCUAAGCUGUCAACUCCUCCUCUGCGACAGUAGCAAACUGAUGCUAUUUCAUAAACACAAGAAACUGUGUGGAUGCUGGAAAUCCAGAGCAAGCGCACACAAAAUGACAGAGGAAUGUGGCAGACCAGGCAGCAGCUAUGGAAAUGGCCAUUUCGGACUGGGGCCCAGAAACAGAAGUGGUGGACCCAUUUGGUUCCCCCACUCGAUCUCAAUAAUAGUUAGAACAUUCAAUGAAGUAAAUUUCUUAACGAAAGAGAAUGAUCUGGCAGAAACAUUCAGUGUGAAGCAGGCUGUAUUUCAAAGGGGUAAGUAGUGGACCAGUGAGUACAGUACAAAGGGAGAGAUUUAAACAGAGGCCCAGGUUUCAUUUUGCUGACAACAGGGAUGUAAUUAGCAUUUCCAUCCAGUAUUUCCAUCCUGUUACAGAGUUGACAUGUUAAUGUCUGUGUAGAAGACGCCAUGGAUUUUAGAGGACAGCAGUGAACCUAGUUUGUGUCACUGCCUCUUUGUUACACCUCCUCACUGCCCUGUGGCUGUAGCAAUGGAGGGGGUGAGGGGAGCAUGCAAGGACGUCAGAUUGGCACCAGUAGUUUUCAUGAUACUGGAUUCCAUAGAGCAGCUUGGUCAGGACACAGAUUUGAAAUCUCCAUCUAGGUUGCUGCUUUCAGCUGACAUUUAAAGAGCAGUAAACAUAAAUGAUCCGUAAGACCAUGAGGUGGAGGAGCAGAAUUAGCCCAUCUGCUCCACCAUUCCAUCAUGGCUGAUUUAUUAUCCCUCUCCACCCAAUUCUCCUGCCUUCUCCCCGUAACCUUUCACAUCCUUACUAAUUGAGAACCUACCAACCUCAGCUUUAAAUAUACUCAGUAACUUGCCUUCUACAGCCACCAGUGGCAAUGAAUUCCUCAGAUUCACAAUCCUAUGGCCAGAGAAAUACUUCAUCUCUAUCCUAAAUGGAUGUCCAUCUAGCCUGAGACUGUGUCCUCAGGUCCAAGACUCUCCCACAUCCAAUCUAUCUAGGCCUUUCAAUAAUGUGAUAGGUUUCAAUGAGAUCCUCCCUCUUCUUCUAAACUAGGUGAGUACAGGCACAGAGCCAUCAAAAACUCCUCAGAUGUUAACCCUUUCAUUCCUGGAAUCAUUCUCAUGAACCCUUUGUGCUCAAUGUGGUUACAGAGCAGAAUCUUUCUGGAAAUGCUAAUCAUCACCCAACAUCAUGGCCUACUUAUUUAAUUCUUCAGUCACUGACAUUUUCCUCUGAAAUCCAUGAAAAGAGCCCAUAUUCCAUGUGCCAAAAUAACUAUAGACAAUAGGUGCAAGAGUAGGCCAUUCGGCCCUUCGAGCCAGCACCGCCAUUCUAUGUGAUCAUGGCUGAUCAUCCACAAUCAGUACCCCGUUCCUACCUUCUCCCCAUAUCCCUUGACUCCGCUAUCUUUAAGAGCUCUAUCUAACUCUUUCUUGAAAGCAUCUAGAGAAUUGGCCUCCACUGCCUUCUGAGGCAGAGCAUUCCAUAGAUCCACAACUCUCUGGGUGAAAAAGUUUUUCCUGAACUCCAUUCUAAAUGGCCUAUCCCUUAUUCUUAAACUGUGGCCUCUGGUGUUGGACUCCCCCAACAUCAGGAACAUGUUUCCUGCCUCUAGCGUGUCCAAUCCCUUAAUAAUCUUAUAUGUUUCAAUCAGAUCCCUGUCAUCCUUCUAAAUGCCAGUGUAUACAAGCCCAGUCGCUCCAAUCUUUCAACAUAUGACAGGUUAUAUGUUAUCAAGGUUAUAACAAGCAAGGGAAAAUGAGAUAAAUUUAUUGUGACAAGUCUUAACCCUUUGUUAUUUUAACAAAACUCCUAAGACAUGACAAUUUAAAAUAUGAAUACAAAAUAGCCUGGAAAUACAACUGGACUAUUUUUUCCCUAAUGACAUUGCUUGUCAGAUCCUGGGUGCACUGGAUAAUUGGCUGUUCCUCUAGUACUGUGAAUGUAUAGAUAAUUGGCCGAUGACUGACAAUGGUGACCCAUCUUGGACAGGUGAUUUCCAGUCAUAUUCAUUUACAUCUGCGUGGUUUCUUUUCAAGGAGAUGGAGUGGGAUGUUUGGCAGCACUGAUAUUGUUACAGCUUUCCUUUUUUAUAACCUGGUGGGCUUUGUAGAAUCAAAUGUGCAUGAGGCCUGCAGUGAUUUAAUAACAGAAACAGGAAGUUUACUGCCCAGCAAGUGUGUGCAGAUAUAAGUGAAGUUCCUUUAAACAGUAUUGUAUCAGUUAGCACAAUGCAAUUACAUUUCAGGGUGUUUCAGAGUUCAGUUCUGGUGCUGUUCUGCAAGGGGUCUGUACGUCCUCCUGUGGACUGCGUGGGCUUUCCCGUUUCUUCCCACAGUCCAAAGACAUAGCGGGUGGCUUAAUUGGUCAUUGGAAAUUGUCCCGUGAUUAGUUAAUGGUUAAUCGGGUUUGUCAGGGAUUGGUAUCAUGUGUUCGAUGGGCCAGAAGGGCAUAGUCCACGUACUGCUAAAGUCUUUUAAAAGAUUAUUUUCGUAGGAGUGAAACAUGAACAGGUUGUAGGCGUGGGGUUGAGGGGAAAACCUGCAAAGCAAGCUGGGAGUUUGGUAUAUUUAGUAAGCCCUGUUGAUUAGGGUCGACCAUGAAUGCUGCUUCUGAUCUGUCUAUGAAAGCCAGGGCAGUACGAUAUAGAGAGCAAGUUGCUGCCUAUGUAGCAAGCUCAUCUCCACACAGCUAAUGAAUCCAAAAGAAAGGCAAAGACAUACAGUUUGGCACCAGCAGCCUCGCAGGUGUUGUCAGUCAAGUUUUGUAUUUCUAGCAUUUGCUUUUGGCAUCAACUGGGUCUUUUCCUUAAAAACCCAGUAAGUGGACUGAAGAGCUUAAGCAUAUAGACAUUAAGAAAGAGGAUGUGCUGGAGCUUUUGGAAAGCAUCAAGUUGGAUAAGUCACUGAGAUUGGACGAGAUAUACCCCAGGCUGCUGUGGGAGGUGAGAGAGGAGAUUGCUGAGCCUUUGGCAACGAUCUUUGCAUCAUCAAUGUGGAUGGGAGAGGUUCCGGAGAAACGGAGGGUUGCAGAUGUUGUUCCCUUAUUCAAGAAAGGGAGUAGAGAUAGCCCAGGAAAGUAUAGACCAGUAAGUCUUACUUCAGUGGUUGAGAAGUUGAUGGAGAAGAUCCUGAGAGGCAGGAUUUAUGAACAUUUGGAGAGGCAUAAUAUGAUUAGGGAUAGUCUGCAUGACUUUGUCAAAGGCAGGUCGUGCCUUAUGAGCCUGAUUGAAUUUUUUGAAGAGGUGAGUAAACAUACUGAUGAAAGCAGAGCAGUAGAUGUAGUGUAUAUGGAUUUCAGCAAGGCAUUUGAUAAGGUACCCCAUGCAAGGCUUACUGAGAAAGUAAGGAGGCACAGGAUCCAAGAGGACUUUGCUUUGUGGAUUCAGAAUUGACUUGCUCACAGAAAACAAAGAAUGGUUGUAGAUGGGUCAUAUUCUGCAUGGCGGUCAGUCGCCAGUGGAGUGCCUCAGGGGUCUGUUCUGGGACCCUUACUCUUUGUGAUUUUUAUAAAUGACCUGGAUGAGGAAGUGGAGGGAUGGGUUAGUAAGUUUGCUGAUGACACAAAGGUUGGAGGUGUUGUGGAUAGUGUGGAGGUUGUCAGAGGUUACAGCGGGACAUUGAUAGGAUGCAAAACUGGGCUGAGAAGUGGCAGAUGGAGUUCAACCCAGAUAAGUGUGAAGUGGUUCAUUUUGGUAGGUCAAAGAUGAUGGCAGAAUAUAGUAUUAAUGGUAAGACUCUUGGCAGUGUGGAGGAUCAGAGGGAUCUUGGGGUCCGAAUCCAUAGAACAGUCAAAGCUGUUGCGCAGGUUAUGUGUUUAAGAAGGCAUACGGUACAUUGGUCUUCAUCAAUCAUAGAAUUGAGUUCAAGAGCCAAGAGGUAAUGUUACAGCUAUAUAGGACCCUGGUCAGACCCCACUUGGAGUACUGUGCUCAGUUCUGGUCACCCCACUACAGGAUGUGGAAACUAUAGAAAGAGUGCAGAGGAGAUUUACAAGGAUGUUGCCUGGAUUGGGGAGCAUGCCUUACAAGAACAGGUGGAGUGAACUUGGCCUUUUCUCCUUGGAGUGACGGAGGAUGAGAGGUGACCUGAUAGAAGUGUUUAAGAUAAUGAGAGGCAUUGAUCGUGUGGACAGUCAGAGGCUUUUUCCCAGGGCUGAAAUGGCUGCCACAAGAGGGCACUGUUUUAAAGUGCUUUGAGGUAGGUACAGAGGAGAUGUCAGGGGUAAGUUUUUUCACACAGAGAGUGAUGAGUGAGUGGAAUGGGCUGCCGGCAACUGUGGUGGAGGCAGAUAUAAUAGGGUCUUUUAAGAAACUCCUGGUUAGGUAUAUGGUGCUUUGAAAUAUAGAGGGCUACGGGUAACCCUAGGUAAUUUCUGAAGUAAGUACAUGUUUGGCACAGUAUAGUGGGCUGAAGAGACUGUAUUGUGCCGUAAGUUUUCUAUGUUUCAUUGGAUAUUGUAUACAGAAGUAGAGGCUUUGCUCCAAGUAGAUAGAUAACAUGAGUGAGCACUGUUUUUCGAUUCUACUUUCCUUUACCACAGGUCAUCCCUGACUCAUAAACGCCAGACUUAAGGACAGGCCAUACAUCUGACCAGGUGUUGGGGAGACCAAUGAGAUGAACGUGGAUGGAUCUGCCAGGGCUGCAGGCAUAUUCUGCCAGGUGGGAACGGGGCAUUCCCUG